AUUAAUAUGGUUUUAAUGGGAAUUUAUGUUUUAACACAAAUGUAAUUAAGAAGUGAAACAUGGAAGUCAACGGUCAAAGUUGAUUCAUAUAAGUAUUUUUGCACCGAAUUCUUUCCAUACUAAAAAGGCUCUUCAGCAUAUCAUUUGGAAGCCAAGAUUUAAGCAAGCUCGUAUUGCAAAAUUAAGCAUGUUAAAUUAAUAGGUUGACAUAGAGGAGUUUCUCCAAAUUAAGGAUAUACAUCUGCCGGUGUGUCAAGGUUCAUUCACAUACAAUUUUUUUCUUUUUCCUUGACAAUUCUUAUUUUAACGAGUCGAAAUAGAAAAGGGUAUGUUUAUGUUUUUGUAGUGGUAGAAGGCAAAAUUCCGAUUUCUUUGGCGCCGCGAUCUAAAGGUACCGUUGGAAAGAGGAAGUCCUGCUGAUUAAAAAAAGGUAUGGGGUUAUAGGUACCGCAAACGCUUAGUUUACGAGAAAAUUCCCAAAAUUCCAACAUUUAAACAAGCUAUUUAAACACACUUUUCACUUCAAAUUAAUUUAAUCAAGCUGUCAAUAUUUAAACAAAUUCACAAUUUACACUUUUUGUAGGUUUUAUAAGCAAAAAAUGUAUAUUUGAAAAAUCACUUUUUACACUCGUAGUGAACAUCAUUUAUGGGGGAAAUUUUAGUAUACGAUCCCACGAUUUCAGGGUUAAAAGUGGUAUGGUUGGAUAGGGCUGAUGCUCCAGAUUAAGAAAAUAUAUAAUUGUUGCCGCCGCAAACUUAUAGUUUUCGAGAUAUUUGCAUUUAAAGUUGAAAAUUUUGCAAAUUUUAUCUUACAAUUUCUCGAUUUCUAGUAAUUAUUUAUUUCAUAUUAUGCACUUUUUAUGCACUUAUACUUCAUAACAUUGUUUCUACAUAUUUAUUUUUUAGUAAUUAUUUAGUUAUUUGCUUAAAAUAAGCAUUUUAUAUUUUACACAAUUUUCACUCAAUGCACAAUAACAAAAGUAUUCCGUGUUUACAGAUAUUAAGUGUUGCCAUAAUUACACAUAUAUCAAACGAAUAAAAAUGGAUAUAAAAACUCAAACGCAGAAAACAAAUACUUCUUCUUCUUCUUCACUGGCGUAGACACCGCUUACGCGAUUAUAGCCGAGUCAACAACAGCGCGCCAAUCGUUUCUUCUCUUCGCUACGUGGCGCCAAUUGGAUAUUCCAAGCGAGGCCAGGUCCUUCUCCACUUGGUCCUUCCACCGGAGUGGAGGUCUUCCUCUUCCUCUGCUUCCCGCGGCGGGUACUGCGUCGAAUACUUUCAGAGCUGGAGUGUUUUCAUCCAUCCGGACAACAUGACCUAGCCAGCGUAGCCGCUGUCUUUUAAUUCGCUGGACUAUGUCAAUGUCGUCGUAUAUCUCGUACAGCUCAUCGUUCCAUCGGAUGCGAUAUUCGCCGUGGCCAACGUGCAAAGGACCAUAAAUCUUCCGCAGAACUUUUCUCUCGAAAACUCGCAACGUCGACUCAUCGGUUGUUGUCAUCGUCCAAGCCUCUGCACCAUAUAGCAGGACGGGAAUUAUGAGCGACUUAUAGAGUUUGGUUUUUGUUCGUCGAGAGAGGACUUUACUUUUCAAUUGCCUACUCAGUCCGAAGUAGCACCUGUUGGCAAGAGUAAUCCUGCGUUGGAUUUCUAGGCUGACAUUGUUGGUGGUGUUAAUGCUGGUUCCUAAGUAGACGAAAUUAUCUACAACUUCAAAGUUAUGACUGUCAACAGUGACGUGAGUGCCAAGUCGCGAGUGCGACGACUGUUUGUUUGAUGACAGGAGAUAUUUCGUCUUGCCCUCGUUCACUGCCAGACCCAUUUGCGUUGCUUCCUUGUUCAGUCUGGAGAAAGCAGAACUAACGGCGCGGGUGUUGAGACCGAUGAUAUCAAUAUCAUCGGCAUACGCCAGCAGCUGUACACUCUUAUAGAAGAUUGUACCUGCUCGAUUAAGUUCUGCAGCUCUAAUAAUUUUCUUCAGCAGCAGAUUGAAGAAAUCGCACGAUAGGGAGUCGCCUUGUCUGAAACCUCGUUUGGUAUCGAACGGCUCGGAGAGGUUCUUCCCGAUCCUGACGGAGCUUUUGGUGCCGCUCAACGUCAGUUUACACAGCCGUAUCAGUUUUGCGGGGAUACCAAAUUCAGACAUCGCGGCAUAAAGGCAGCUCCUUUUCGUGCUGUCGAAAGCAGCUUUGAAAUCGACGAAUAGGUGGUGAGUGUCGAUUCUCCUUUCACGGGUCUUUUCCAAGAUUUGGCGCAUGGUGAAUAUCUGGUCGGUUGUUGAUUUACCAGGUCUGAAGCCACACUGAUAAGGUCCAAUCAGCUUGUUGACAGUGGGCUUUAAUCUUUCACACAAUACGCUCGACAGAACCUUAUAUGCGAUGUUGAGGAGGCUAAUCCCACGGUAGUUGGCGCAGAUUGUGGGGUCUCCUUUUUUAUGGAUUGGGCAUAGCACACUUAAAUUCCAACCGUUGGGCAUGCUCUCAUCCGACCAUAUUUUGCAAAGAAGCUGAUGCAUGCUCCUUAUCAGUUCUUCUCCGCCGUGUUUGAAUAGCUCGGCCGGCAAUCCGUCGGCCCCUGCCGCUUUGUUGUUCUUCAGGCGGGCAACUGCUAUUCGAACUUCGUCAUGGCCGGGCAAUGGAACGUCUGCUCCAUCGUCAUCGAUUGGGGAAUCGGGUUCGCCUUCUCCUGGUGCUAUGUGUUCACUGCCAUUCAGCAGGCUGGAGAAGUGUUCCCUCCAUAAUCUAAGUAUGCUCUGGGCAUCGGUGGCUAGAUCACCUUUGGGGGUUCUACAGGAGUAUGCUCCGGUCUUGAAACCUUCUGUAAGUCGCCGCAUUUUUUCGUAGAAUUUUAGAGCAUUACCCCUGUCGGCCAGCUUAUCAAGCUGUUCGUACUCACGCAUUUCGGCCUCUUUCUUCUUCUGUCUGCAAAUGCGUCUCGCUUCCCUCUUCAACUCUCGGUAUCUAUCCCAUCCCGCACGUGUUGUGGUCGAUCGUAACGUUGCGAGGUAGGCAGCCUGUUUUCUCUCCGCUGCGACACGGCACUCCUCGUCGUACCAGCUGUUCCUUUGCACUUUCCGAAAACCAAUGGUUUCGGUUGCAGCUGUACGCAAGGAGUUUGAAAUGCCGUCCCACAGUUCCCUUAUACCGAAUUGUUGAUGAGUGCUCUCAGAGAGCAGGAGUGCAAGCCGAGUAGAAAAACGUUCGGCUGUCUGUUGUGAUUGCAGCUUCUCGACGUCGAACCUUCCUUGUGUUUGUUGGCGUGCGUUUUUUGCUGCACAGAGGCGGGUGCGAAUUUUGGCUGCAACAAUAUAGUGGUCCGAGUCGAUGUUAGGACCUCGGAGCGCACGCACAUCUAAAACACUGGAGACGUGUCUUCCGUCUAUCACAACAUGAUCGAUCUGGUUGGUGGUUUUUCGAUCCGGAGACAGCCAGGUAGCUUGAUGUAUCUUCUUAUGCUGGAAUCUAGUACUACAGAUAACCAUAUUUCGGGCCCCGGCGAAGUCGAUCAGCCUCAACCCAUUUGGGGAUGUUUCGUCGUGGAGGCUGAAUUUACCGACUGUAGUGCCAAAGAUACCUUCUUUGCCCACCCUGGCGUUAAAGUCGCCAAGCACGAUUUUGACAUCGUGGCGGGGGCAUCUCUCAUAAGUGCGCUCCAAGCACUCAUAAAAGGCAUCUUUGGUCACAUCGUCCUUCUCUUCAGUCGGGGCGUGGGCGCAAAUCAGCGAUAUGUUGAAGAACCUCGCUUUGAUGCGGAUUGUGGCUAGACGUUCAUUCACCGCAGUGAAUGAUAGUACUCGGCGACGGAGUCUCUCUCCCACCACGAAUCCAACACCAAACUUGCGCUUCUUUAUAUGGCCACUGUAGUAAAUGUUACAAGGACCUACUUGUCUCUGUCCUUGUCCCGUCCAUCGCAUUUCUUGGACGGCGGUGAUGUCAGCCUUUAUCUGUACGAGGACAUCAACCAGCUGGGCAGCGGCACCUUCCCAAUUAAGGGACCGGACAUUCCAGGUGCAUGCCCUCAAUUCGUAGUCCUUCUUUCGUUUGCCAUGGUCGUCAUCAAAAGGGGGGUCACUCAUCCGAGGCUUGUUGUUCCUUUUCAUUGGGGGUGUUUUUUUACGUGGCGGGUCCCAAACCCAGCGCACAAC